rnacentral:rRNA from 1 species
GACGAACCGUGCGAACGUUGUUCGGAAUCACUGGGCUUAAAGGGCGCGUAGGCGGGUCGAAAAGUCCGUGGUGAAAUCCCCCCGCUCAACGGGGGAACGGCCGCGGAUACUGUCGGCCUCGAGGGGGGUAGGGGCGAGCGGAACGCUGGGUGGAGCGGUGAAAUGCGUUGAUAUCCAGCGGAACUCCGGUGGCGAAGGCGGCUCGCUGGACCUUCUCUGACGCUGAGGCGCGAAAGCCAGGGGAGCGAACGGG